UUUUUUUUUUUUUUUUUCACCCAUUUGAAUGUAUAAGAACUGUUCUUAUCUUUGAGGGCCAUUCAGAAAUGCUAUAGCUGGCUGUCUUCUACUUUUGAGAGGUAAAACCGGUAAAGGAACUUUAAAGUUUGAGGUAGGUUAAAAGAAAACAAAAUUGCAAAUGAAAAUUAAAAAUACUUUCGGAUGAUAUUUUCAUGAUAGCAGGUGAAAAUGGUUAUGUCUGGUCUCGUUUGCUUAUGGUUGUUUAUUCAUUUUAAAAAAUGAACAGACAGACAAAUAUACUGAUAAGUACCACUCUAAAAUAUAUGAUAUUUCAUCCGGCUGCAAAAUUAUUCUAUUGUCAUCAGGAAGGCAGCUAUGGAAAUAAACCUUAAAAUCAUCUUUUUAAUUAAAAAAAUUUUUUUACAUCUUAUAGGGCAAGGAAUAGUCAUAGAGUUUUAGGGAUCAUAGAGUCAGGAAGUAAGCAUAAUAAUUUCCAUUUCAGUCUUUAUUGCUAAUGUUCUUUUGAUCUGAAAUUUGGCUGCACUAUAUAAUUUAAGAGUAGAUGUAAAGCUAAUUAAUGAAUCUCCACCAAGGUGAGAUAUAUUUUUACAAUUUUUCUGCUGUGAAAAGUACUUGGUUGUACUUAGAGAGAAGAGCUUUUCUUUUUCAGUAUUAGAAGGAACAAACUCUAAAUUUGAUGAUCCUGGAAAAAAAACCCAUGAAUCUCAGAUAAUUCAAGUGUAAUUUACAUGAUUGAAUACUUACUUUUAGCCAGGUCACAUAGUAGUCUAACUACGAUAGAAUUUAAUAAACAAAGCACCCUUUGUGGGAGAUUCUAAAGUUUCAACUUGAUAGGGAAAGAACACUCCCAGAAAGUUUCAUUCACCUGUUAUUCCUACCUCAACACGCCACUGCUCUCCCCACAACAUGGGGAAAAUAUACGUGAUAAUAUCUGUCAAAGAUGAGGUGUUCCAUGCAAAAGGAAGUGGAAGAAGCACCAUCUGUGGGUGUCUAUGUGUGCAAGGUAUUAUGGGAGGUACAAGCAUCUCCACUCAUCAAUCUAUUCAUUUACUCCUGGAGAAUCUAAGUGUCAGUAUAUCCCAAACUUGACCUGACCCACACAAGGGGAGCACACAUAUACUCAGACUUCCGACAGCCUUGCAAACUAGGGGGUUAACAGCUUGGAAAACUAAGACCUACAUUCUGGACCUUAUGGUCACCAUACAACAAUGGUUGGUACCAAGAUUUGAACCUGCGUUUAUUUAGUGUAAGAGGAUCUGCUUAUUUCAUACAACACUGCCUCUGUAGGAUUAACAGACUCCUUUCCUGGUGUCUUCAGCUGCCUCUCCACACAUUAACUCUCUUUGUAUUGUCACUAUAACAAUAAUAAGAGGGAAAAAAAAUCCCACCAAACCUAGAAGGCACCCCCAUUUUCUGAUAAUUUUGCAGAUAGUUUGCUUUGUUUUGUAAGUGUAUCUACAGGGGAGAGGGCUAUGGAUACUUGAAAUGAGUUGGAAGUGGGUUUU
rnacentral:lncRNA from 1 species